rnacentral:lncRNA from 1 species
AGACAGGGGUAGAGGUGAAGAUCUUAGUUUGGAAUGUAAGAUUAUGGGAAUUUUAAUACCCAUAUUUAGAUACGUCUGUGUACUAUUUAUAUUCCUUACAAUUACUGGCACAGCCUGGGAUUCAGAUAAUCUGCCCUAUUUUCCUUUUUAUGUAUAUUUAUAAUUGUUAGUCCCCAUGACUGAAUUUUUGAAAACACCACCACUACAAAUUAGGAAAAUCAAGAAAGUUAUUAAAGCUAUUUCUGUAUGUCUUUGAAAGAAAUAUUUUGCUUUUAUCUAGUUGGUGAGGAAAUACUAUGAGGUUUUAUUAAGCCGCUACUCCUAUUUAAGGAUUUCCCAUUUCCUUUCCCAGAAGACUAAAUUGUUCAAAGACAAAGAAUAUUUUAUGAGUUUUUUAUAUCCCAUGCUUCAGAUAUGCAUUGACUAUGUAUUUUAAAAAGGGAAGUUCUCCACAUUCAUUAUAAGGCCCAUCAAGAGUAUGGUUAAAAAAUAUUUGAAUUGUCCUUGCUAUUUAUAUAUGUGUGGAAUAUGAAGAAAUAUAUAAAGAUUAGAUGUGUUUCAUUAUUUUUAAUCUAUACUGUCAGGUUUUAAGUAGUCUUUUAAGUCUUUGAUCACCUCAUUGAAAAUAUUUGCUGUUUCUUUCUGUAAAGAUUUUGUUUAUUUGUGAAACUGGGGAUUGAACCCAGGGAUGCUCUACUACUGAGCCACAUCCCCAGCCUUUUUUUUUUUUUUCAUGAGACAGGGUCUCACUGAGUUGGCCAGGCUGACCCCAAGCUUCCCAUCUUCCUGCCUCAGCCUCCCAAGUAGCUGGGAUUAUACAUCUGCACCAUUGUACCUGGAAACUUUCUGGAAAGGUUUAUUCUGUUGUUUUUGUUUUUAAAUAUAUUUUUUAUUUUAAAUGAUGAUUUUAUGAUACAGUGAACAGGUUGGCUAUGUAAUUGCUGAGACCACCAUCCAUCUUGAAAGCUGCAUGUUGCAAUUCUUGUUCAAAUAUCCUGCUUCAGCCAUUUGUUUUAUGCAUCACUGUAUGAACAUGCC